GUCACAAAAGGGGGUGGGGGAGCAUUUCUAUUAGAAAAUUCUAAUUGUGCCUCAAGCUUGGCUUCCAGGAAGGAAUUGGUUGCUUUUCUCCAUUUGGGAUCGGGAAGUCUCUAGGAUCGAUUUGUUGCUAUGCGACAGGUUUUGAAGGAUGACCGGGUUUUUUUUGGAAUCAAAUCUGGAUUCGAAUUUCACUAAGUAGCCACAAUAUAUGGAGUAUAAUCCCUAUUUAACUUCUGGGGUUAGGUGCCUUCUUGGGAAUGUGUACUUUGGUAGAUGAUACUGUGCUUCAAAUAACAAAGUAUAUACUACUCUGACAUGUAGAAGAUGCUUUAAAAGCGGUUGUGUCACUGAACCUCCUUGGUCCCACUGGGGAAGCCAGAUCUGGGCAUGUGGCCUGAAGACCUCCUGUGGUAGAACCGGAAGCUCAGGCUUAGUUGUCACUGCUGGGAUCGCCUGGGCAGGACAAGCUGUGAGCCUGGGAGAAAGGGAAAGGAUCCUGACUCCCACAGCAUUUGGCAAAGACCUGGGUAAAUAAGGUAAAACUUGUAAGCCACCUCCGCUCUUCAAGAUUCUGAAAUGUGUCUCAGGACCAAGCACAUGAGCUAUUGACUUUUUUAAAAAGUAAUAUUAGAUUUUAGAUCUUCAGCUUUGGAAGAGACCAUAAAGAUCAUCCAAGUGUACACGUCCUCAGUCAAGGCUCACAUCUUCCUUACAGUCUACUCACACUCACCUUUGGUUUAAAAAAAAAAAAAAAAAAAAAAAAGCAACCUUCAGCUUCUAUGCAAUCCUAUUCAACCCCUUUAGAAAUAAAGCCUGUCUAAACAGGGUAUUCCAAAUGUCUGUUAUUCCCCCAUGGUCAUGUUAUUUCCCAUGGCUGUUUCCUUUUUCCCUAUUUCUAACUCUCCCUGCUACAGAAGCUAAGGGGCAGCUACAGCCCACAACUUCCAGCUACUAGUUGCUCAGGGCACACAGACUUGCCAUCGACAUGCCUGAAUCAUGACUGAUGAAGCAAACAACUUAGCAGCUUUCUCCUCCAAACCCAGGCUCAGCGCAAAAUCUGUUACCACAAUGACUUCCUUGGCAGUUAUUGUGAUACUAGCAAGAAAUGAUAUGGACUUCAUCAAGGAUCAAAAAAGAAUAAAGCCUUUGAGAGAAAAAGAAGUCUCCAUCAAAUAUAAUAACCUCAGUAAGGAAUAUAAAUAGCUAAAUGCUUACAGGUCAUAGUUCACACCCCCCUUCAUUAAAACUUUAGCUCAAGUAAAUAAAGGGCUAUGUUUACAGAUUUAGGUAAUCUAUUUCUCUUGUAUGCUUUUUACUAAUUAAAAUCUAUCCAACCUGGGACUGCUUCAAACCAUAAUCCUCUAUCAUACUUUACUAUUUUACUUUCAACUGUGAUGAAAAUAUGUUUUCCCACUGAUGUUCACAAAGCCACAGUAAACAACAGCCAUGUACUACAUAAAUAAAACAUGAACCUACAAAUAGAACUAUCAAUUUAAUUCAUUCAUAUAUAAACUUUAGACCAAGAAACGUAAAUGUCUAUUAAAAUUACAACAGAUUUAAAAGAGCUAUGGUUUAGAACCCUGUCUAGUUCUGCAUUCUAGGGAGCAAAAUCAAAUAAUGGGCAUAAAUACUUUGAGCAAAGGAAGAGAGACAUGUGACACUGAAUGAGCUUCCAUGCUAGAGAUGACCAUGGAUACAUAGAAGACACGUGACAUCCACAAGUCAAGAGGCAUACAGAAAUGGAAAAAGAAAACAGAAUACAGAAUUUAAGAAUAAAACUCGCAAAGACAGAAAUAAGAGAAAUAAGCUUUCCUGGUACCUUAUGCAGACUUUAGGAAAUUGCCACCAAAUACUUUUCAAAUUAGGACACAUUUUCCCCACCGUAAGUAUAAAUGGGGAUUCAGCUUUGAUAUUUGCCUUGUGAAUUGGAUGAAAUUGAGCUGAGGGCCAGAUGUUUUCCAUCUGUGUUUUAGAUUAUGCUAAACACAAAAUCAUUAGAGAGCACCCGUAUGACUGAAGAGUUUUUUUUUAUUAAAAAGCCAGGUAACAUCUCCUUCCUGCCUUAGACUUCGGAGGAUUUUAGUAUAUUUUUGAUGUUAGAAUUUUGACAAGUAAUGAAAAAAAUUAGAUGAAUAGUUUUGAGUUAAAAAACCCAACCACCUCAUAAUAGGUGGCCUGAAUCUUCAUAAGGUUGAAACAACUUUUGAAAAGUGGAAGCUGCUGCUUAUCCAUGUAUCAAACUAGGAACUUGAUUUAUUUCCCCUGAAUUGGAUUUUGGUAUUAGGUAGGCAACCAAAAUAUAUUAGUUAAUCUAGUUUAUUAUGUGCUGUGCAGAAACUGCAGUUCACGUGCAUGGACUAAAUUACGAAUUAAGUGUCACCUACCCCAUUGGGGAUUCUGCUUCAGCAUAAUCACUAACGACAUGGAAGGAAAAGUAUAUAAAGUCUAGAAAGGGAAGUCAUCAAAAUGUCAGCAUG